rnacentral:rRNA from 1 species
AUGAACGAUAUACUAUGUGCUCCGUUCUUGGAGGAGGAGGUGUCCGAUGCUUUAUUUCAGAUCGGUCCCCUCAAAGCGCCAGGGACGGAUGGUCUCCUGGCGAGAUUUUUUCAACGAGAUUGGGCAGUGUUGAAAGCUGAAAUUACAGCUGCUGUGCUGGAGUUCUUUAGGUCAGGUGCUAUGCCAGACAGUGUCAAUGAUACGACUAUUGUUCUUAUUCUGAAAAUCCCUUUCCCCAAGGAACUUAAGGACUUUAGACCGAUAAGCCUAUGCAAUGUCAUUUAUAAGAUCGUUUCAAAAUGUUUGGUGAAUAGGCUAAGGCCAAUGCUGGCGGAGUUAAUAUUGGGGAAUCAGAGUGCUUUUGUCCCCGAAAGACUUAUUUCGGAUAACUCUAUAAUUGUGUUUGAAUGCAUUCAUCAUAUACAGUCGCUGAAACAAAACAGGCCAGCGGCGUAUGCUUACAAGCUUUAUCUGUCAAAGGCAUAUGAUCGUGUCGAUUGGGAUUUUUUGGAAAAUGCACUUCCCAAAUGGGGAUUCGCUGAACAGUGGAUAUCGUGGAUUAUGGUGUGUGUCAGAUCAGUAAAAUACUCUGUCAAAUUCAAUGGACAAUUGCUGGAGAGUUUCUUUCCUUCAAGAGGACUAAGGCAAGGUGACCCUUUAUCACCGUUUUCGUUUCUCUUCGUUUCUGAUGCUCUUUCUGCUUUAUUGUCAAAAUCAGUGGCUGAAGGUGCCUUAAAGGGGUUAGCAAUUUGUCGAGGGGCACCAGUUAUAUCCCACCUGCUUUUUGCGGAUGAUACUAUGCUGCUAUUUGAGGCUUCCGGCCAGCAGGCGCACAUUGUCAAGGGGCUGUUGAACACUUAUACCUCAGCUACGGGUCAACUCAUUAACCCAGAAAAGUGUUCCAUCCUUUUCUCAGACAACUGCUCUGCUGUGGUGGUAGAUGAUGUCAAGAGUAUCCUGGAAAUUAAGCAGCAAGUGUUCGAACCUAAGUAUCUCGGCCUUCCUGUUCCGGAAGGAAGAGUGCACAAGGGACAAUUUGAAUCCCUACAAGAAAGGUUGAGGAAGAGAUUAAUUGAUUGGAGUGAACAAUAUGUCUCAAUGGGCAACAAAGAAAUCUUGAUCAAGGCAGUAGCGCAAGCAAUACCUACAUAUGUUAUGAGUGUAUUUCGGCUACCGGCCUCUGUGUGUGAUGACUUAACACGUAUGAUGAGACAGUAUUGGUGGGGAGUAGAGAAUGGAAAGAGGAAAAUGGCCUGGCUCAGCUGGGAGAAAAUGAUCUUACCCAAGGAUAUGGGGGGCAUGGGUUUUAGAGAUAUGAGGGCGUUUAACCGGGCGCUUCUUGCAAAACAAGCCUGGAGGUUGCUUGAAAGUCCUGAUACUUUAUGUGCUCGUUUGGUACGAGCUAAAUAUUAUCCCAAUGGGAAUCUGCUUGAUACACUCUUCCCUUCUGGUUCGUCUGUUGUAUGGAAGGGAAUCAUGUACGGUCUCGAUCUUUUG